UACAGAGGUCCCAAGCGUUACUGAGAAUCACUGGGUUUAAAGGGUGCGUAGGUGGUCCGUUAAGUCAGUUGUGAAAUCCCCGGGCUCAACCCGGGAACUGCUUCUGAUACUGGCGGACUUGAGGCCAGUAGGGGUCACUAGAACUGACGGUGGAGCGGUGAAAUGCGUAGAUAUCGUCAGGAAUGCCGGUGGUGAAGACGGCUCUCUGGACCGCCACUGACGCUGAGACACGAAAGCGUGGGUAGCAAACAGG
rnacentral:rRNA from 1 species